GACGAACGCUGGCGGCGUGCUUAACACAUGCAAGUCGAACGGAAAGGCCCUGCUUUUGUGGGGUGCUCGAGUGGCGAACGGGUGAGUAACACGUGAGUAACCUGCCCUUGACUUUGGGAUAACUUCAGGAAACUGGGGCUAAUACCGGAUAGGAGCUCCUGCUGCAUGGUGGGGGUUGGAAAGUUUCGGCGGUUGGGGAUGGACUCGCGGCUUAUCAGCUUGUUGGUGGGGUAGUGGCUUACCAAGGCUUUGACGGGUAGCCGGCCUGAGAGGGUGACCGGCCACAUUGGGACUGAGAUACGGCCCAGACUCCUACGGGAGGCAGCAGCGGGGAAUAUUGCACAAUGGGCGGAAGCCUGAUGCAGCAACGCCGCGUGCGGGAUGACGGCCUUCGGGUUGUAAACCGCUUUCGCCUGUGACGAAGCGUGAGUGACGGUAAUGGGUAAAGAAGCACCGGCUAACUACGUGCCAGCAGCCGCGGUGGUACGUAGGGUGCGAGCGUUGUCCGGAUUUAUUGGGCGUAAAGGGCUCGUAGGUGGUUGAUCGCGUCGGAAGUGUAAUCUUGGGGCUUAACCCUGAGCGUGCUUUCGAUACGGGUUGACUUGAGGAAGGUAGGGGAGAAUGGAAUUCCUGGUGGAGCGGUGGAAUGCGCAGAUAUCAGGAGGAACACCAGUGGCGAAGGCGGUUCUCUGGGCCUUUCCUGACGCUGAGGAGCGAAAGCGUGGGGAGCGAACAGGCUUAGAUACCCUGGUAGUCCACGCUGUAAACGGUGGGUACUAGGUGUGGGGUCCAUUCCACGGGUUCCGUGCCGUAGCUAACGCUUUAAGUACCCCGCCUGGGGAGUACGGCCGCAAGGCUAAAACUCAAAGGAAUUGACGGGGCCCCGCACAAGCGGCGGAGCAUGCGGAUUAAUUCGAUGCAACGCGUAGAACCUUACCUGGGUUUGACAUGGAUCGGGAGUGCUCAGAGAUGGGUGUGCCUCUUUUGGGGUCGGUUCACAGGUGGUGCAUGCCUGUCGUCAGCUCGUGUCGUGAGAUGUUGGGUUAAGUCCCGCAACGAGCGCAACCCUUGUUCACUGUUGCCAGCACGUUAUGGUGGGGACUCAGUGGAGACCGCCGGGGUCAACUCGGAGGAAGGUGGGGAUGACGUCAAGUCCUCAUGCCCCUUAUGUCCAGGGCUUCACGCAUGCUACAAUGGCUGGUACAGAGAGUGGCGAGCCUGUGAGGGUGAGCGAAUCUCGGAAAGCCGGUCUCAGUUCGGAUUGGGGUCUGCAACUCGACCUCAUGAAGUCGGAGUCGCUAGUAAUCGCAGAUCAGCAACGCUGCGGUGAAUACGUUCCCGGGGCU
rnacentral:rRNA from 1 species